rnacentral:rRNA from 1 species
UGCAAGUCGAACGAGCGAGAGAGAGCUUGCUUUCUCGAGCGAGUGGCGAACGGGUGAGUAACGCGUGAGGAACCUGCCUCAAAGAGGGGGACAACAGUUGGAAACGACUGCUAAUACCGCAUAAGCCCACGGUGCCGCAUGGUACAGAGGGAAAAGGAGCAAUCCGCUUUGAGAUGGCCUCGCGUCCGAUUAGCUAGUUGGUGAGGUAACGGCCCACCAAGGCGACGAUCGGUAGCCGGACUGAGAGGUUGAACGGCCACAUUGGGACUGAGACACGGCCCAGACUCCUACGGGAGGCAGCAGUGGGGAAUAUUGCACAAUGGGGGAAACCCUGAUGCAGCGACGCCGCGUGGAGGAAGAAGGUCUUCGGAUUGUAAACUCCUGUUGUUGGGGAAGAUAAUGACGGUACCCAACAAGGAAGUGACGGCUAACUACGUGCCAGCAGCCGCGGUAAAACGUAGGUCACAAGCGUUGUCCGGAAUUACUGGGUGUAAAGGGAGCGCAGGCGGGAAGACAAGUUGGAAGUGAAAUCUAUGGGCUCAACCCAUAAACUGCUUUCAAAACUGUUUUUCUUGAGUAGUGCAGAGGUAGGCGGAAUUCCCGGUGUAGCGGUGGAAUGCGUAGAUAUCGGGAGGAACACCAGUGGCGAAGGCGGCCUACUGGGCACCAACUGACGCUGAGGCUCGAAAGUGUGGGUAGCAAACAGG